UUCGGUCCAUAUCGAGGAUUUAGAAUUCGGCGGCGGCAACUCAUCGACAAGCCACAACGGCUUCUUUUGAGGAGACGACGGCUAAAGCACCCUCCCACUUCCUCUGCCAAUGGCGUCGCGGCGGCUCUUCGCACUCCGACCUGCUUGCCUUCCCUCCCUCCCGCUUCCCUCUGCCCGCUUCCGACGAGGACGAGCGGAUCAGCAUCGGGGUCUGGCCGCGUCCGCCGCCGCCGUCGUCAAAGGAAGCAACAAGAAAAAGAAGGAGCCCGCCACGGUCGUCUCACCUGACCACCUCAAGAAGCGUACGCGCUCCGGGGCGAAGUUCGACCGCGCCCUCUACCGUCGCUACGCAGACCCCGUCCGGGACCACGUCCCCGUCAUGCUCGGCGAGGUGCUCGACGCAUUCCGUUCCCUCCGCCUCCGCUCCUUCGUUGACUGUACCCUAGGCGCCGCCGGGCACUCCGCUGCUAUCGUAGAGGCCCAUCCGGAGUUGGAGUUGUACGUGGGAAUGGAUAUGGAUGCUUCAAUCCAUGACCAGGCCCGGACUCGGAUAGAGAAGCUCUUGGCCGUGGAUUCGCGCGGCAGCAAGUUGAAAGCUUACACUCAUGUCAGAAACUUCAAGUACAUCAAGUCAGUGCUUGGUGGCGUCGAUGAGAACCUGCUUGACGUGGGGGUGAACGGCAUCUUGAUGGACCUUGGAAUCUCAUCCAUGCAGGUGGAUGACUCUACAAGGGGAUUUAGUGUGCAAGGUGAUGGACCUUUGGAUAUGCGCAUGAAUCCUCAGGCAAGUUUGACAGCUGAAGAGAUAUUGAAUUCUUGGCCAGCUGCAGAAGUGGGAAAGGUACUACGUGAAUAUGGAGAAGAAAGCAAUUGGCAAUUUAUUCAGAAUCAAAUUGUUGAAGCUCGUGCACAAGGGGGAUUGCAUACUACAGAUGAGCUUGUGCAUCUUGUGAGGAGAGCAUCAUCCAAUUCAGGAGGAAGGCAAGGAUGGAUCAAGACCGCUACGCGGGUUUUUCAGGCGCUUAGGAUAGCCGUUAAUGACGAACUUCAAACACUAGAGCAAGCCCUCUAUGCGUGUUUUGAUUGUCUGUCAUCUGGUGGCCGGCUUGCAGUUAUUUCAUUCCACAGUUUGGAGGACAGAAUUGUGAAACAAACUUUCCUCGACAUCAUUGAGAUGUCUGAUCUGGAGGAUGAUGACAGCGAGAGGCCUUCAGUAGAAAGUAUGCCUGAAAUCGAGACCAAAGACGACGAACCAUGGAGUAAGAAUAGAGUUCAAGGAAAGCAAGGGAUCAUUCUCACCAAGCGACCCAUCACAGCUACGACUGAAGAAGAGAUAAUGAACCGCAGGUGCAGAAGUGCUAAACUUAGGGUUCUUCAAAAGGCUUGACAUUCAUUUUAUUGUUCUUCAAUUCAAAACAAUAUCUUCUAUUGUUGUAUGCUAAAUGGCUCAUCAAUAUCUUCUAUUGUUAUCUUCUAUUUUACUGCUGUCUUUGCGUCUAAUAUGUGGUAAACUUUCAUUAAGGGUUUCUGGAGAUGGACACAGGCCACAAACAAUUGGCCCCAUAUAUUCAUUGCUUCACUGCACUGAAUUUCACAUGUUAGAUCGAAUGGCUUCAAGAAUUUAAAUUCAUAAAUAAAGGCCAACCGAAGCAAGUAAAUGUUCUCACCUUGCCUUGUAUUUUUCCCCCAUUUCAUUUUCUCAUUAAUAUGCUCGAACAGUGUCCUUUUGGAUGUCAAUUCCAUUUCUAAGAUCUAAACAAAAUGCAGAUCCAUUUAUUGAAAGAGAGUUGCAAGAUCGUUCGAGAAACUUAGUGUAGAUCCUUUUUGGAUCGAUUAAAACAGUGUGUUCAUGCAAAUGGAAUUCAGCUGUAUGUGUGCAUAAUUAUUUUGUUUAAAGGCCUGAGAGCUACGUGCAACUGUGCAAGUCCUGCGCGUCGGCGGACGCGUGGAGAAGGCGGUCCAAUGCAUGCAUGGCUUUGCAUGGGAGUCUGUGUCCUCCAAUUGAACUAUCGCUUACAGUCUCUCGCAUUCAAUGCCAUUUACUCUCCCCAACCACUUCGAUCCUUCCGUUCCUCCUACGCCAUUUCUUGUUCUACUGCUACAAAUCUGAAAUCCCCACCCCGUUCAUCUCCUCUUCUCCUUGAACUGAGCGGAACAGGGCACGAUCAUGAAGUCGACCGACGAGGAGGAUCACCAGCAGAAGCCGGCAACUGGCAGCGACGUGGCGGCCGAGCCGGCGGAGGAUUUCCAGGGCGUCCGGACGGCGGAGACGCUGCUUCGGGCGGUGCCCAUGGGGCUCUGCCUGGCGGCGAUGGCCAUCAUGGUGAAGAACUCGCAGGACGGAGACUUCGGAUCCAUCUCCUACUCCGAUCUCGCCGCCUUCAAAUCAGGUAUUUGGUGUACGCAAACGGCGCUUGCGCGGCGUACUCGCUCCUGUCGGCGUUCUACUUCGCCAUCCCUCGUCCGGCGACUCUGGCCCGCUCAUGGACCGUCUUCCUUCUGGACCAGCUGAUGACAUACAUAAUCCUUGCCGCCGGAACAGUGUCGACGGAAAUACUAUAUUUGGCAUACAAGGGCGACGUGAAUGUUACAUGGAGUGAAGCUUGCAGUGUCUUCGACACCUUCUGCCGACGAGCCACCACCUCAGUCGGGAUCACCUUCGGCUCGGCGGUUUGCUAUGUGCUGCUCUCCCUUGUCUCGUCCUACCGCCUUUUCAGCACCUUUGCAGCCCCCGUCCCCUUCCUGAGCAGCAAGAGCCAGGAGAUAGCAGCCUUCCCUAGCUGAACACCGCCAUUAAGCUUUCCCCUGCUUAUCUAUAUAGUCUGUGUUAUGCCGUUCACUGUUGCAGAAGUGCAGUACUUAAUGUGUGUCGAGUUUAAUCUAUGCAGUGCUCUCUGAAGGAUUAUGAUUAUAUUCGCUUCAGUUUAAUCUAAAUGAUGAGGAGUUGAUUUGGAAAAUGAUUUUGUAUGAAUGAUCAAUGUAAUAUGUCAUAUGAAUGUCCAGUGGCCCUUCUUUUCAUUCUUCA